rnacentral:rRNA from 1 species
GACGAACGCUGGCGGCGUGCUUAACACAUGCAAGUCGAACGGAAAGGCCCUGCUUUUGUGGGGUGCUCGAGUGGCGAACGGGUGAGUAACACGUGAGUAACCUGCCCUUGACUUUGGGAUAACUUCAGGAAACUGGGGCUAAUACCGGAUAGGAGCUCCUGCUGCAUGGUGGGGGUUGGAAAGUUUCGGCGGUUGGGGAUGGACUCGCGGCUUAUCAGCUUGUUGGUGGGGUAGUGGCUUACCAAGGCUUUGACGGGUAGCCGGCCUGAGAGGGUGACCGGCCACAUUGGGACUGCGAUACGGCCCAGACUCCUACGGUAGGCAGCAGUGGGGAAUAUUGCACAAUGGGCGGAAGCCUGAUGCAGCAACGCCGCGUUCGGGAUGACGGCCUUCGGGUUGUAAACCGCUUUCGCCUGUGACGAAGCGUGAGUGACGGUAAUGGGUAAAGAAGCACCGGCUAACUACGUG